GACGAACGCUGGCGGCGUGCCUAAUACAUGCAAGUAGAACGCUGAAGAGAGGAGCUUGCUCUUCUUGGAUGAGUUGCGAACGGGUGAGUAACGCGUAGGUAACCUGCCUUGUAGCGGGGGAUAACUAUUGGAAACGAUAGCUAAUACCGCAUAACAAUGGAUGACACAUGUCAUUUAUUUGAAAGGGGCAAUUGCUCCACUACAAGAUGGACCUGCGUUGUAUUAGCUAGUAGGUGAGGUAAUGGCUCACCUAGGCGACGAUACAUAGCCGACCUGAGAGGGUGAUCGGCCACACUGGGACUGAGACACGGCCCAGACUCCUACGGGAGGCAGCAGUAGGGAACCUUCGGCAAUGGGGGCAACCCUGACCGAGCAACGCCGCGUGAGUGAAGAAGGUUGUCGGAUCGUAAAGCUCUGUUGUAAGUCAAGAACGGGUGUGAGAGUGGAAAGUUCACACUGUGACGGUAGCUUACCAGAAAGGGACGGCUAACUACGUG
rnacentral:rRNA from 1 species